AUUUUGAAGAACUGUGAUGAAAAUUCAACCAUUUCUCGAAGAAUUUUCACAAAUUUAUAGUGAGACGUCUCAACAAAGUUCAGAUGUGGAGUGGAAUAGAAAAUUCAUUAGUUGGUUACAAAAAAAGGUUGACAUGAAUCCCUCAAUAACUCUGAAGUAUGAAAUGGGACAAGCUUCAAAAAUUCCCAAGCAUGAACUCAUUCAGCCAGGUGCCUUAGCAAAAGGACUAGGUCAAAGUUUGAAAUCUAUGAGCACUAUUAGAGUUAAUGCUGAACGAAGGACUCCAAUUGCCAAAAAUAGAAGUUACUAUACAUCAACUUCUAAGUUGAAUAAGAUAGCAGAUAAUAGUUUCCAUGUGCAUCCUUGUUUUGAGGAAAAGGAAGACAAUGCUCCCCUCUAUCAAGAAGCUGAAAUGAAUCAAUACACUUUGACCAGUGAUGCAAGGGGUCAGGGACAAAGCUUAAGGAUUAAUGCUGAAAAAAGGACUAUGAUUGGCGAAAAUAGAAAUACUACAACAACUUCUAGUCAAAAUAAGCCAGCAAAGAAAAGUAUCCCUGUGCCUCCUGAUUUUAAUCCAAUGGAAGACAAUGACACCCUCUUUCUAGAAACGGAAGUGACUCGAGAUACUCAAAGAAGUGAUCAUUUGCAAAAGAGUUAGUUUGGUUAAUCUGUUUGAUCAAGAAAUUCUACUUAGCUUUCUCUACUUAAUCUCCUUUCUAUUCUUUUUGUUACUAAUGGGAAUAAAUUUCUUAUUUUGGUUGACUUCCAUCAAAAUUUGCAGGUCCUUUUGAAUUCGGUAAGUCCAAAAAAGUGAUUGAAGUGCCUCGAGUUGCCCAAAGAAGUUCGUUUGAAUCUAGAAAAGCAAAAGAAGUGGUUGGAGUGGCUCAAGGUUCCAAGGGAAAUCAAAAUAGAAAG